rnacentral:rRNA from 1 species
AUUGAACGCUGGCGGCAGGCCUAACACAUGCAAGUCGAGCGGAUGAAGGGAGCUUGCUCCUGGAUUCAGCGGCGGACGGGUGAGUAAUGCCUAGGAAUCUGCCUGGUAGUGGGGGAUAACGUCCGGAAACGGGCGCUAAUACCGCAUACGUCCUGAGGGAGAAAGUGGGGGAUCUUCGGACCUCACGCUAUCAGAUGAGCCUAGGUCGGAUUAGCUAGUUGGUGGGGUAAAGGCCUACCAAGGCGACGAUCCGUAACUGGUCUGAGAGGAUGAUCAGUCACCCUGGAACUGAGCCACGGUCCAGACCCCUGCGGGAGGCAGCGGUGGGGAAUAGUGGACCGUGGGCGCAAGCCUGCUCCAGCCCUGCCGCGUGUGUGAAGAAGGUCUCCCGAUUGUAAAGCACUUUAAGUUGGGAGGAAGGGCAGUAAGUUAAUACCUUGCUGUUUUGACGUUCCCAACAGAAUAAGCACCGGCUAACUUCGUG